CCGGCGAUGUCCGAAUGGGGAAACCCAGUGCAAUUCGUUGCACUAUCGUUAACUGAAUACAUAGGUUAACGAGGCGAACCGGGGGAACUGAAACAUCUAAGUACCCCGAGGAAAAGAAAUCAACCGAGAUUCCCCCAGUAGCGGCGAGCGAACGGGGAGCAGCCCAGAGUCUGAAUCAGCUUGUGUGUUAGUGGAACGGUCUGGAAAGUCCGACGGUACAGGGUGAUAGUCCCGUACACCAAAAUGCACAGGCUGUGAACUCGAAGAGUAGGGCGGGACACGUGGUAUCCUGUCUGAAUAUGGGGGGACCAUCCUCCAAGGCUAAAUACUCCUGACUGACCGAUAGUGAACCAGUACCGUGAGGGAAAGGCGAAAAGAACCCCGGCGAGGGGAGUGAAAAAGAACCUGAAACCGUGUACGUACAAGCAGUGGGAGCACCUUCGGGUGUGACUGCGUACCUUUUGUAUAAUGGGUCAGCGACUUAUAUUCUGUAGCAAGGUUAACCGUAUAGGGGAGCCGCAGGGAAACCGAGUCUUAACUGGGCGUUAAGUUGCAGGGUAUAGACCCGAAACCCGGUGAUCUAGCCAUGGGCAGGUUGAAGGUUGGGUAACACUAACUGGAGGACCGAACCGACUAAUGUUGAAAAAUUAGCGGAUGACUUGUGGCUGGGGGUGAAAGGCCAAUCAAACCGGGAGAUAGCUGGUUCUCCCCGAAAGCUAUUUAGGUAGCGCCUCGUGAAUUCAUCUUCGGGGGUAGAGCACUGUUUCGGCUAGGGGGUCAUCCCGACUUACCAACCCGAUGCAAACUACGAAUACCGAAGAAUGUUAUCACGGGAGACACACGGCGGGUGCUAACGUCCGUCGUGAAGAGGGAAACAACCCAGACCGCCAGCUAAGGUCCCAAAGUCAUGGUUAAGUGGGAAACGAUGUGGGAAGGCACAGACAGCCAGGAUGUUGGCUUAGAAGCAGCCAUCAUUUAAAGAAAGCGUAAUAGCUCACUGGUCGAGUCGGCCUGCGCGGAAGAUGUAACGGGGCUAAACCAUGCACCGAAGCUGCGGCAGCGACACUAUGUGUUGUUGGGUAGGGGAGCGUUCUGUAA
rnacentral:rRNA from 1 species